GGUUGUGGCUCAGUGGUAGAGCACUUGCCUAGCAUGUGUGAGGUACUGGGUUCGAUUCUCAGAACCA
rnacentral:tRNA from 1 species